rnacentral:rRNA from 1 species
UGAGCAAUCUGCCCUUCACAUCGGGAUAACCCCCGGAAACGGGAGCUAAUACCGGAUACGACCACUUCAGGCAUCUGAUGGUGGUGGAAAGUUCUGGCGGUGAAGGAUGAGCUCGCGGCCUAUCAGCUUGUUGGUGGGUAAUGGCCCACCAAGGCUUCGACGGGUAGCCGGCCUGGAGAGGGUGACCGGCCACACUGGGACUGAGACACGGCCAGACCUCCUACGGGAG